AAGCUGUGAUGGUUAGAAAGUGAAAUUUCCUCUUGUGCUUCCAGAGACACUGUUUCCUUCCUCAGUUGCGGCAAAAAACACACAAAAAAAUCUGGUGCAGAAAUGCCCAUAAAUAUGGAAGAUACCCAUCUGGUACUUCCAGUGUUAUUACUGCUCCUCACAUUAGAGGUGAUUCUGUCCACACAUCAGGGACUGAAACUGCAUUCUGGGGCAUGUGAGUGUUGUUCACAGAGCAAAGUCCAAAGUGUAACAGUGUCCACCUGUUUUUAGAUGUUGUGUCUUUUCUAUUUCUACACGUGGUUAAUAUAAGAGACGAGACUUGUGGGUGUGAAGGAGGGUGACGGUUAUUUUUUAAGGCACCUCUGAUAAAUCUGACAGCUCAACCAUGGAAGUAACAAGACAUGUGAACACUGUGAACACAUAGUGGUUACUUGCAUAAUCUUUAAUGAUUCAUGAUUCCUUCAACUAAAGAUUUCAGCCUUUUCUGGAAGGGUGUUUAUUUAGCUGAAUAUAUAAAUAAAGACUAAUUAAUGCUGCGUUUGAGUAAAGUAAAGUGAGCUGCUCUGUAGUAAAGUGUUUGUUACAGAACAUUAGCAGUGAACAGAUUCUGAAGUGAGUCUGAGAACAUGCAAAGGCCUUUGACCAUAAACGGAUGUUCACUCAUUCAACAGCCAUGAGUCAGCAUGAGCUCAGCAUGAGAACUCCUGUGUUUUCGGUGAAGAGAUUUUCCAGCCGCAGUCGCAGCCGCAGCUUUUAAACCGUCACAGCUGCUGCCGCUCGGCUCAGAGUUCAGAGCUGAGCUGACGCAGACACAAGUCAGAACUGUCAUUUGACUCCCAAAUACUCAGUCUUAUGGUUUAUAUCAAGUUUUCACAGGAAAGCUGUAGCAUGCACAGUAAAGACGGGAGUGAUCACUUUGUGCACCAGUUGCCUCCGUGCAGCCAAGGGGAUAUUGUUGUAAUUCCCCGUGUCUGCCAACAGGGGUCGUUAUUGCUCACUGAUUUCCCAUUACUGCCCCUUUUUAAUAGUCAGAUGAGGGUGAUUACCUGUUGGUCUUGAUUACAGGAGUUGGCAGCACGCACGUGAGUCUCCAACCGUAGGUAGCGAGAGACUGGAGCAGGGGAACAUAGUCAGCCUUCACCUGCAGCCCCUGUGAGGAACAAACAAGACGUCAGCAGCAGCCUGGAACCAAACACUCACCAUCUUCAAUAUGCAUGUGCACUGUGGAGCGGAGUGCGGUCACAACCGUUAAAUACAAGCAACAGCGUAUGAGAUGCAAUCAGGCUUCAGCAUCACUCGGAUCUCAUUUAAAGAAGCGUUUCCUCUCCGACUCGAUGCUUCUACUCGAGGUGUGUGCUCAGCCUGAGAGGUUGUUUUCAACAACGAUGACCGACGGAAAGAAUAGAAAGAAAGAAUAGAAAGAAAUAAACCUGUGAUGUGAAUCUGCUGCAGCUGAAACUCCCGGGUGGCCACGAGUCAACAUGGCAACCGGGUCCAUUAAUGACAAGUCAGUGAGUCCUUGAGUAAACGGGUCGCUCAUGUGAAACACUUGUGUUAUUGGUGUUUGUGACUUUCAGGCCCCAGAGUCUCAAAUGAAGAAUAGAUGGAGGAGUGAACUUUUAAAUGUUUAUCUUGAUUUGUGGGAGAAAAAGUUGUUCAAAAGGAAAUACACACCUGUAAUUAUCAGAACACAACCAUACUUGUUGUGUAUGAGGGAGAGGAAGUGUGUGUGUUGGAGUGUGUGUGUGUGUGUGUGGGUGUGUGUGGUUUAGUCAUCUGUAGAAGCUGUUAAGCCACAACACGUGUCAGUCUAGUCCCGACAACAUUUGCAUUCACACGCACAAGAAAUGUCAAAAAAACAAACCGUCACAUAGAAGCAAUACAAAAAGAAUGUAUGUAUUUGAAAAGAAGAGAGUGAAAUAAAAUUGACAUGAACUCCAGACCGUUGUCCUCGGUGCUGCAGAGCGAAUUCUGAUCCUAGACCAGCAAACCACCGAGAAUAUUCACAGGCAGCUCAUCGACCUCUGAAGAGCAGAGGCGACACCUGCACGCUCCACAUUUAGCCUCCACUGUUCUGAGAAGUGUGAAAACUAAUUAAAGCUGCACCCGCCAAAGGUUUCAUAUAAUGAACACCCACCAUCAUCUGCCUCCAUCGCACUCAGAUCCCGACCCUUCCUCCCCUCCAAUAGCUGCUACUGCUACUGUACUGCAGAGCUUCUCCUUCCACUGAUUCUGAUUCUGCAGCUGGAUCCAGUCGCAAGGCAACAGAGAGAAUUGAAAAGUGAGAACCUUUUCUGAGACUGAGCGACUGAUCAGCAUGCAGCGCUCACUGUCUGCCGUGAGACCGACUUCCAAUCAAAACACUUGAACCCACUCCACCGCCUCGUUUUCUCUUCCACAGAUUUGUAUUGACCGAGUUGACGGCGCGUGCACAAACAGACCUGAAGCCGUCGAGCAUUAACUCGUGGGUUUGCUAAUCGUUGGAAUACGAGCCUGUUAUUUACACAAGCUCUACUUUCUCAGUUCCAACAGGGAGCGGCGCAUCUACAUUUUUUCGGAGGAGAGUUUAUGUUGGAACAACUCCCAGAAACACGCUCUCGCACUCAGAGGCUUCCCGGAAAGUAAAUUGAGAAAUGAUUUUUUUUCUGUAAUGGCUUUGCUGUUCUCUGGAGUAGGUGAGAGUUAAUCACAGCUCCCGCAGAGGGGGCUCGCUGCUCCCCCGACUUAUUAUGCAGGGCCACCUCGCUGCAUCAGCACUCCUGCAUCAGCAACCGGAGAGGCUCAAAAACAAGAAGGUAAUCACCUCGGCCGUCUCUGCCGAUGUUAUCUGAGACACUUUACAGAGGGAUCACACAGUGAGAAGACGGAGGAGGUGUGUUCGAACCGUCUUCACACAGUUUAACAGGUUUGUACCUUGAGCCAAACACAGAGUUAAAGAGCAGGAGGGAGAAAAACAUGUUUUCUCAGGUGAUAAGUAAAACAAAAAACUGCUCAUGCAACUACCUUAAAAUAGAAGCUUCAGAAAUUAGUUUGAUGGUUGAACUUCGGAUAAGCUCCUGAAACUUUCCAGAGGGGCUGAAUGUGAGAAUGCAACUGACAGUGUGAGUGUAACUGACUGAUAGUUGCAGCUGACAUUUUUUAAGAGUAACAACAACCAGAGUUUAUCUCCAAUAUUCAGCGUGGAAGGUUUUAAAAUAUGAGGAAUUCUAAGAAGAGUUUGGAGCCCAAUAGAAAUAAUCUCCACCUGUGGCUGCAGAGGGCGCUGUUGCUCAGUAAAAAGUUGCCCAGUGUUGCUUUAAUAUUUUUACAGAUUAACCUGCUCUUUUUUUUUUUAAUCAUUUUCAGAAAUAUAAGACUUAAACUCUUGUCGUCCGGAGGAGGGAGCAGCUGCAGGUGGACGUAGAGUUCAUAGUUCCCUCUGGGAGUCAGCUCCACAAAAAACAAAACGCCAUUAUUUUUCUAUCAAGCUCCUCCAUCAGCUCUGCAGGAAAGACAUAACAAGCCGUAAAUCGGUCUUUUCAGCGGCUCAGGCUGUGUGUUCCAGACUCGUGGGGUCGACGGGUCCAGUAACAAUGCAGCAAACACCUGAGACGUCCUGAUAGGCUUGCUCAGCCUUCAGCGUGUUGUCACAGCAACAGAGAGCAUUGUAAUUGACCAUUUAAAAAAAAAAAAUCACAGAUAAAUAUUUCAUAUUCGUCCUAUUUCUUUACAUAUAUUCCUCGCAGCUAAAUCCGCUCUCUUUUGUGUUCCGAUUACUCAUCAUGGAUUUUUUUUCAAAACCUUUCGCCAGCUUAAAAAAAACAAGGUUCAUUUUUAUUUCUAAAUGUUUAUCAGGUUAUUGCAGACGUUUAAUUAUAUAUUUACUAUUAAACUUUACUUUCCCUGUAAGAUCCACAAAUGACUAAUUGUUAGUAUUAGUCAUUUAUAUAUAUUUUAUUUAUUUGUUGGCAGCGUUUACUGGUUCACAUUCAAACUUCUCUCUCCUCUGGAUUACGACCAAAUGUACUGCAGGCAUUCAUGGUCCUCAGAAGAUGCACCCUCCUAACUUUUGUGCUCCCCUAACUUUUCCACUGGUUUCAGACUGGUACCGGUGGACCUUUGGAGUUCAGAGGGAAACAGCUCCACACUUCAGGUCUGCUGUAAUAGUUGCAGCAGACAUUCAGGUUCCCACACGAUGUAAUAACUUUGAUCCCCUCGACUUUCAUCCGUCAUCCUCAGCAGGUUAACUGAGAUGACUCUUUUAACCACAACCUACUUUAGAGACGAGGGGAGCGAGGGGAGCGCGAGACAAAGAGAAGACAGUUUCUCUUAUAACCUCAGUUCACACUCAGCUGAAUGUAAACUGCAGGUGCACCACAGUGGCUCUUUCCAGACGUCCCCCUGGCCUGGACCCAUAUGAGACUGAAACUCUUUAAGGUCCUGCACGAUGUAGAAGCUCAGCAGCAGUGGGGGAGGAAGAACUCAGACUCUUUACUGGAGAAGAAGAACCAAUAAAACUAUGUGAAAAUACUCAAGUAGAAGAGAAAGUGUGUGAAAUCAUAAAUCUUUGAGUUUAAAUAUGCAAAAUUCACAUUCAAUCAUUUUAAUUUGAAAUACUGUGAUAUAGGGUUUGAGAUUGUCACAGAUUUUAAGGCAAAACAAAGGUUCUGCAACACAUUUGCAUUAUUGUCCUUUGUUCUGUUGUAUAACCUUUGCUUUUUUGUAAAAUAAUGCACCAUGUUAGUACUUUAUCAUCAAAUCAAAUGGUAAAAAACAGGGUCCCUGAAGUCUAAAAGGGAAACAAACUUUUGGUGGAAGUUGACCAUUUGAUUGAGAUCUUAAAUUGUGGGAACCAGUGGGAUAAAUUCCAAUUCUAAUCCAGUAUGAAAUCUUUCAAUCUCAAUCUGCACAAGGUGCGACAUCCUUUGUCCUCAUGCCUCGACUAGAGCGAGAGGAAACUACCCAAAAAAACAGGGUGGGGAAAUAGAUUCAUGUAAAGUACUUGCGUAAAUACAGGAAGUCUCUUGUCACCACUGAUGCUUAAACACUCAAACAGGCCCCGUUAAGUCAAAUCUGUAAGUUACGAGCUAUUAUUUUCUACCUCGUAAACAACUGCAGCCUGUAAACGCCGCCCUCCUGCUCUGCAGUUAUCAGCAUCGUCUUCACGGCGUCUGACAGAGCGGGCGCGAUCUCUCACUUGCACUUGGACGGUGCAAAUUACCCUGCCUCUAUCUAGGUCACCUCUUCUCUCACCUCAGCCAGGGAGGACAGAGAUAUCACGGACAGGCAGCGUGCACGCUAAGGACCAGCUCUGUGCACCAACACGCAGGCCACAGCGUGCACACGGGCACGCUACACAACAGAACACAACACUGAGUCGACACUUUCUCUCUUUACUGCACUUUUCUCCCGGUGCGUCUUUCGGGUUGUGAGCUGUGGAGAUCAAGGAGCGAGCGAGCGAGUGCGGCUGCGACACCUUCAUCAAACUGCUUGAAGAGGCUCAGAGAAACAUUUUACUCAGUGACAAUCAGGCUGCGACUUCAACAGGAAUCUCAAAAAAAACAUGUGCAGAUAGAAACGUGCCCAAAAAGAAGGACAAAGAGAAUGAAGCAACCAUUAAAUCUGUAUCGAUACGCUGAAGGAUCCAUGUAAAAGC